UAAAGUUGUUGCAGUUAAAAAGCUCGUAGUUGAAUUUCGGGGUCAGCAGGUUGGUCGUGCCACUGGUAUGCACUGGCUUCGCUGAUUCCUCCUUUCUUAAGAACUGUGAUGUGAUUAAUUUGGUGUUGCAGGGAAACAGGACUGGUACUGUGAAAAAAUUAGAGUGUCUAAAGCAGGCUCACGCUUGAAUACAUUAUCAUCGAAGAAUGAAUUAGGACGUUUGAUCCUAUUUUGUUGGUUUCUAGGAUUGACGUUAUGACUAAUAGGG
rnacentral:rRNA from 1 species